rnacentral:rRNA from 1 species
UCAAGCUAAUAAGAGCGUAGGGUGAAUGCCUUGGCAUUAAGAGCCGAAGAAGGACGCGGUUAACUGCGAAAAGCCAUGGGGAGCUGUAAGCAAGCAUUGAUCCAUGGAUAUCCGAAUGGGGAAACCCGGCGGUCGUAAUGGGCCGUCACCGUUACAUGAAUAAAUAGUGUAACGGGGGGAACCCGGUGAACUGAAACAUCUAAGUAGCCGGAGGAAGAGAAAGAAAGAUCGAUUUUCUUAGUAGCGGCGAGCGAACGGGAAAGAGGCCAAACCGGGACUCUACGGAGUACCGGGGUUGAGGACCUGCGGAAUCGAAGUUGGAGAUAGUCGAAGACGGUUGGAAAGCCGAACCGGAGAGGGUAAAAGUCCCGUAGGCGAAAUCAAAGACGAGAGGCGGGUAUCCAGAGUACCACAGGACACGAGUAAUCCGGUGGGAAGCAGGGGGGUCCACCCCCCAAGCCUAAAUACUACUUAAUGACCGAUAGCGUAUAGUACCGUGAGGGAAAGGUGAAAAGAACCCCGGGAGGGGAGUGAAAGAGAACCUGAAACCCUAUGUUUACAAGCAGAGGGAGCGAAAGCGACCUCGUACUUUUUGUAGAACGGGCCGGCGAGUUACUGUGUGCAGCGAGGUUAAGGCGUAGAGCGCCGGAGCCGAAGCGAGAGCGAGUCUGAAGAGGGCGAAAGUUGUGCGCAGUAGACCCGAAACCGGGUGACCUAUCCAUGGACAGGAUGAAGCGGCGGUAAGACGCCGUGGAGGUCCGAACCACACGUAUGUUGAAAAAUGCGGGGAUGAGCUGUGGAUAGCGGAGAAAUUCCAAUCGAACUCGGAGAUAGCUGGUUCUCCCCGAAAUAGCUUUAGGGCUAGCCUCGUUUUAAAUUACCGGGGGUAGAGCACUGAAUGGGCUAGGGGGCCACAAAGCUUACCGAACCCUAUCAAACUUCGAAUACCGGAUAAUUGAUGAACGGGAGUCAGACGGCGGGAGAUAAGUUUCGUCGUCAAAAGGGAAACAGCCCAGAUCUACGACUAAGGUCCCGAAAUCACAGUUAAGUGGAAAAGGAUGUGCAGUUGCACAGACAACCAGGAUGUUGGCUUAGAAGCAGCCACUCAUUUAAAGAGUGCGUAAUAGCUCACUGGUCGAGUGAUUCUGCGCCGAAAAUUUCCGGGGCUAAAACUUACUACCGAAGCUACGGCAUCAUUAUGAUGGGUAGGGGAGCUUUCUAUGUGGCUUGAAGCAUGACCGUAAGGACAUGUGGACUGCAUAGAAGUGAGAAUGUUGGCAUGAGUAGCGAGAUGUGGGUGAGAAUCCCACAGGCCGUAAACCCAAGGUUUCCAGGGGAAGGUUCGUCCGCCCUGGGUUAGUCAGGACCUAAGCCGAGGCCGAAAGGCGUAGGUGAUGGACAACAGGUUGAUAUUCCUGUACCACCAAUAACCGUUUGAGAAAUGGGAUGACACAGUAGGAUAAGCUAACCGCACUGUUGGUUAUGUGCGGGCAAGUAUUGAGGCAGUUCCGAUAGGCAAAUCCGUCGGAAUAAUGCUGGGGUACGAUGCGGAGCGAAAUUUAGUAGCGAAGUAGCUGAUUUCACACUGUCGAGAAAAGUCUCUAUCGAGGUUAAAGGUGCCUGUACCGCAAACCGACACAGGUGGGUGAGGAGAGUAUCCUAAGGCCAGCGAGAGAACUGUUGUUAAGGAACUCGGCAAAAUGACCCCGUAACUUAGGGAGAAGGGGUGCCUUCGAAAGAAGGCCGCAGAGAAUAGGCCCAAGCGACUGUUUACCAAAAACAUAGGUUUCUGCUAAGUCGCAAGACGAUGUAUAGGAGCUGACGCCUGCCCGGUGCUGGAAGGUUAAGGGGAUCUGUUAGAGCAAUCGAAGCAGUGAACUUAAGCCCCAGUAAACGGCGGCCGUAACUAUAACGGUCCUAAGGUAGCGAAAUUCCUUGUCGGGUAAGUUCCGACCCGCACGAAAGGCGUAACGAUUUGGGCACUGUCUCAACGAGAGACUCGGUGAAAUUAUAGUACCUGUGAAGAUGCAGGUUACCCGCGACAGGACGGAAAGACCCCAUGGAGCUUUACUGUAGCUUGAUAUUGAAUCUCGGUACAACUUGUACAGGAUAGGUAGGAGCCAGAGAAGCCGGAGCGCUAGCUUCGGUGGAGGCAACGGUGGGAUAC